rnacentral:rRNA from 1 species
UGGGGAAUAUUGCGCAAUGGGGGAAACCCUGACGCAGCAACGCCGCGUGAAGGAAGAAGGUCUUCGGAUUGUAAACUUUUGUCUUUGGUGACGAUAAUGACGGUAGCCAAGGAGGAAGCCACGGCUAACUACGUGCCAGCAGCCGCGGUAAUACGUAGGUGGCAAGCGUUGUCCGGAUUUACUGGGUGUAAAGGGCGUGUAGACGGGCCGGUCAGUCAGAUGUGAAAUACCGCGGCUUAACCGCGGGGCUGCAUUUGAAACUGCCGGUCUUGAGUGCGGGAGAGGAAAGCGGAAUUCCUAGUGUAGCGGUGAAAUGCGUAGAUAUUAGGAGGAACACCAGUGGCGAAGGCGGCUUUCUGGACCGUAACUGACGUUGAGGCGCGAAAGCGUGGGUAGCAAACAGG